UCCCAACUCGCAGGAGAGCCCAGGG
rnacentral:piRNA from 1 species